UGGGGAAUAUUGGACAAUGGAGGGAACUCUGAUCCAGCAAUUCUGUGUGUGUGAAGAAGGUUUUAGGACUGUAAAACACUUUUAGUAGGGAAGAAAAAAAUGACGGUACCUACAGAAGAAGCAACGGCUAAAUACGUGCCAGCAGCCGCGGUAAUACGUAUGUUGCGAGCGUUAUCCGGAAUUAUUGGGCUGAAAGGGCAUCUAGGCGGUAAGACAAGUUGAAGGUGAAAACCUGUGGCUCAACCAUAGGCUUGCCUACAAAACUGUUGAACUAGAGUACUGGAAAGGUGGGUGGAACUACACGAGUAGAGGUGAAAUUCGUAGAUAUGUGUAGGAAUGCCGAUGAUGAAGAUAACUCACUGGACAGAAACUGACGCUGAAGUGCGAAAGCUAGGGGAGCAAACAGG
rnacentral:rRNA from 1 species